CAGAGGACAGGGAGAAGACGUGGGUGCGGUACAGCGGUGGAGUGCAGGACUCCUCAGGACCCCGCCGCCUGACUUUCAUUUUGAGCCGUUUCUUUUAGUGCUGCCUGGGGAGAGUGUAUGACACAACGAAGUCCCUUUGGAGCAGUUAUGUGAACAGCACGUGUCACGGGUGGACUUAUUUAAAGGCAGAGCCAUCCUGUGACAGUGAGCCAGAGUGGUUUACUUAAGCAGACACUCAAAAUGGGAAGCGCUCCUGAAAAUGCAGAGCCAGAUGGGCAUUUAUCAGUGUCCUCUGCACGAGGACAGAGGUUCACCAGACCUGGUCUCACUCAGGUGGUAAGGGCUGGAGA
rnacentral:lncRNA from 1 species